rnacentral:lncRNA from 1 species
UUUUUUUUUGUUGAGUCCGCCGAGGUGUCACCAUCGUGAGAGGUUACGACUAUCUUUCAUCUACCAUUCCAUUAUGUGAUCUCCUUCACAUGCCAUUCCACGUGCACCACGGGGAUAUUACUAGCAAGCAAAGCUUGGUGUGGCCUAUAAAUAUGGGCCAUCGGCCAUGCCGUAUGUGGACUCUGCUACUAUAUACUGUAUAUUGCAGUUGUAGGAGGGGACCUGGUUUACCCACUUUGCUGUGGCCUCUAAGUGAGCCUGCAGGAGGGGCUAGCCGCUGCCUCCUCAUAAACCAAGAGGCGUUGCCUUUCCAGUUAGUCCAGCUUGAGGUGGCGAUCGACGGGGAAAUGGCCGCGGCGACGACGGGCAUGCCCAUGCUGGCGGCGCUGGCGAUCCUAGUCCUCGUGCCGUCGGCGCGAGGGCUCGACCGCGCCGAGUUCCUGCCGGGGUUCCUCUUCGGCGUUGCGACGUCGGCUUACCAGGUUGGUGGAUCGGAGCUUGGCUUCGGCCGGCGUCGUCUCUCUUUUGCCUUGCCGUUCUCCUCGGUCCCAUGGCACGGUUGCUGACGACGCAGCAUGAUUUCUGCUUCCACUUCCAGAUCGAGGGCGCGUACCUGGAGGACGGCAAGGGCCUCAGCAACUGGGAUGUCUUCACCCACACGCGCUGUAAGCAAAGUUUUAAAUAGCGCGCUAAGCAUCUUAGCGCGCUAUUUAAAAUGUUUGUUCAUUUGUUUGGACCAAAGUCUCUUAGUGCAAGACCUUUUGUAAACGCUAUAGCGUGCUAUAGCGGAGCUAUAGCGGGCUAUUUGAAACGGUGGCUGUAAGUCAUCUUUUCUCUUUUCUGCUUCGAUGCCCUUGCGUGAUCCAUGUGUGUCAGGUGUUUUCUUUUAGGAUUGUGUGAUCCAUGUUGCUUAGGGGGAUAUAUGAAGAUGAAAAUGAGUGGUUCCUUUCCACCCCCGCUGUACGAAACAGAGACGGCGAGCAAUAGCAAAGCCGCAUCCACACUCUGUGCGUGCCCAAAUUCGAUCGCCAUAUAAUGAGAACCAACCAAUCUGUGGUUGUAUCUCUCUAUCGGAGAUCAAAUCAUAGGUUGGGAGGCGACGUUUACAUAGAUAGCAGACGAUCUAUGGCGACUUUGCCGACCUUGAAGCUCCACAAUUUCGAUCCGAUCUUCAGUAGGCGUUGUGUGAGUGCGCGUGUGUGCGUGCGCGCGUAUAUACUCAAACGUCCUAACCGGUGUAUUUAAAAGAAGUUAGCUGUGCACUAAUCAAUUAGCAUCCUUGUCAAAUUUCCUAUUUGUGUUACCCGCAAAAAAGAAAACUAUUUGUGUCCACUAUAGUCAUCUGAAACACUGGUGCAACAUGGGCCUGAUUGUGACACCAAUUAUUUAUUUUUCAAAGAGAAGAAAAGACCAUCAUCGAGUGAUGCACACUAACUGUCAUAUACUCUUUCAGUACAAAGUUAUAUUAAAAUUAAGACACUUAUUUCGAGAUGGGGUCUAUUAUUUUUAUAAACAAUUCUCUUUCUCUCCAACCUUGUCCCUACUCCACAAGGCAAGACAUGCAAAUCAAUCAUUUUUUAUUGUUCAGCCUAACUCCUUUGGCGUCCGAGCAUGCUGUCGCUCUCGUUCGGGUAUCCAUAAUGUGUAGCCAAAUAAUGUUGCCAUAUAUGAUUUUUGGCGUUUGGCACUAAUGCCCACCAUUGUGCAAACCCAUCGCCCAAGCCAAAAAUAUGGGAACCGGAGCAGUAGGGUGCUCUAAUGCCAAACCAAUUGGGCUGGACAAUAAAAAGAUUCAGAGGGUGCUAUUCGUGUGGUUGCUCUUGCUCGACAACGAUGCCAAAUGAUUUGACACAUUUGUAUGGUUUAGCACCGGUGCUAUUUGUGUGGUUGCUUGACAACGAUGCCAAACGAUUUGACACAUCUGUAUGAUUUAGCACAUGUGCUAUUUGUGUGGUUGCUCGACAAUGAUGCCAAAUGAUUUGACGCAUCUGUAUGAUUUAGCAUCAAUGAUAUUUGUGUGGUUGCUCGACAAGUAUGUGAUGCCAUAUCCUAUAAGAAUGGAAGGACUAUUUGAGAAUAAACAAACAUAAAUUUUAGGUGCCAUGCCUGAUUUCUCAACCUCUCUUUCUUGGAAGCGCACGCACCAAACUACAAUCGAAGCAGCUACCUGCUUUGGUUCCCAUAAAUUUGGCUUUGGCAGAGUGACUCGAAGUAGACUACAAAUGACAGAGUGAUCCCACAACUAGCAAGUCGGCAGAUCCCCAUUCUUAUGAGAGAGUGAUCCCACAACUUCAACAACAUUCCGCGGAUAAUUAUGCGAGCGGUUACAGAAUCGUGCUUAUCCUUUUUCUCUCCCUCUAAUGUAGAGGAGAAUAUUCCCUUACCGUAUGACCAUUGGACCAACUAACAUUGAUAUCAGAACAGUACUCCUGCAUGUUAUCUAAAAGAAAGAACAGUUCAAACGCAGAUGUGGAUGUCAUCAUCUAUUUAAUUUUAGAAGUUCAAACUCGUGCUUUUCUCUCAAAAAGCUUUGAUUCACUACAGCUAGGGGUAUCGAUGAUGGACGGAACGGGGACGUAGCGGAUGAUCACUACCACCGGUACAUGGUACAGAGUUAGCAAAAUCAGGACAAAUUCACCAGUAAUUGCCAUGUGAUGCAUGGUGCAUCUACUCAUUCUGACAGUGUGUUGUGAACAGGAAGAUGUGGAGAUCAUUCAUAGUUUGGGCGUCAACUCCUACAGAUUCUCAAUUUCAUGGGCGAGAAUCCUACCAAGUAUGCCAAAACAAGCAAAAAGUUUUACGGCUUAGUGGUCACGGUUAAAAGUAGUUGCUUAGCUAAAUUAAUGCCGCUGAAUUGAAUCCUCGUAGGAGGCCGCCUUGGAGGCGUUAAUUCAGCUGGAAUAGCUUUCUAUGACCGCCUGAUUGAUGCACUCGUGCAGAAAGGUACAUGCAACAGAUUGCACUAUAGUCUUCAACCAAGAGCAAUCUAAACGUACCUAUUGCCAAAAAUGUCAACCAGGGAUAGAGCCAUUUGUGACACUGCAUCACUUUGAUCUGCCGCACGAAAUGGAGACCCGAUACGGGGGUUGGUUGGGCGCCGGAAUCCGGUACGUGCAGCUCCUUUGUUUCUCCUUUCCUUGAUGAAAUCGGCAGAGCGCCUGCCUUGCAUUGUGAAAAACAACAAAAUGUGUUCUCCCAGGGAGGAGUUCGACUACUACGCGGACGUUUGCUUCAAGGCGUUUGGUGACCGGGUCAAGUUCUGGACGACGAUCAACGAGCCCAACCUGUUCACCAGGCUCGCCUACGUGCUGGGCAAGUACCCUCCGGCACGCUGCUCCGCGCCAUUCGGGACCUGCGAGAGCGGGAACUCUCAUCACGAACCCUAUGUCGCGGCUCAUAACAUGCUGCUGUUACAUGCCGCCGCCGUACACAACUACAAGAAGAAUUAUCAGGUGAGUGAACCCAACAAACUUGCUACGUCGUCAUUGAGGAGCUUUCAGUGGAUAUCAGAAGUAGUGCUACCUUGUUCCGAUGCAUGUGUGUGUGAACUAGGCAACGCAAGGUGGAUCUAUUGGGAUUGUGAUCGCGAUGAAAUGGUAUGAGCCGCUGAUGAACACCACAGAGGAUAUCCUGGCUGCACGACGUGCCUUGUCUUUUGAGGUAGAUUGGUACGUCUUUAUUCACCUUUGCAAGUGCAACAACUAGUAUGAGGAUGUUCAUAUCAACUUUACGUAGUUAUGCUACAAAAAAAACUAUUGUACUACGGUCUUUUUUCAAUGUUUAUUUUUCUUCUUCAGGUUUUUGGAGCCCAUAUUCUUUGGUGAUUAUCCCGGGGAAAUGCAUGAGUUGUUAUCAUCCAACUUACCAAAGUUCACCUCAGAAGAGAAGAGCUUACUGCGGAAGAACAAGGCGGAUUUUAUCGGUAUAAACCAUUACACGACAAUUUAUGUCAAGGAUUGCAUCUCUUCUCCGUGCGACCUUAACACUUACGAGACUUAUGAGGGGAAUGCACUAGUCCUAGCUACAGGUGAAAGAGAUGGCGUGGCAAUUGGGAAGCCCGUAAGAACUACUUCGAUCAGUUUUGCCAUCCUACACAUACUCUUCUUCUCUUUGUCACACAUGUUCGUAUGGUUGCAGACCGCAUUCGAUGGUUACUAUGAUGUUCCGGAGGGCAUGGAACAGAUCGUCAAGUAUGUUAAUCAGAGAUACAAGAACACACCUGUCUAUGUUACUGAAAAUGGUGAGCGACAAUGGACUCACGAAUUCACGAUGCAUUCUGUAAACUUGCUGAAGAUCGAGAAGCUUCUAGUGCCUUCUCAUUUGCUUCCAUGCGUUCACAAUGAUCAUGUGUUAUCUUACGCUUUUUUUUUCAGGUUACUCGCAACACAGCAAUAACACUAUGGACGAAUUGAUCAAUGAUGUUGAAAGAGUGAACUACCUGCAGGGUUAUCUCACGUGUCUCUCUUCAGCAGUCAGGUGACGUGCAACCCACUACUCGAAUCUGGAACUUUGCCUAGUGUCAGGUUGUUUGCCAAGUGCAUUUUGUCGGGUACUAGAAAAACAUGACAUUUGUCGAGUUCCACGAGGAAAAUAUGGCAAAAGGAUGAGACUUGACAAAUUGCACCUUUGUCGAGUUUCUGCCAUGUGGCACUCGGCAAACACAUGCUUUGCUCCAGUUCCUGCCACAUGGCACUCGGCAAACACAUUUCAUCCGCCCGUUUUUUUCUUCUUCUUUUAGUUUUUACUUCUUUUGUUUCAUACCUUUUGUACAUUAUCUGUUUCAUUUUUUGUAUCUUAUGCUCUAUUUUUUCUACAUUAUUUGUUAUAUACUCUUUUUUUUGUUUCCACAUAUAUAUUUCCUUUUAUAGUCAUUUUAGGCAAGCCCGUUCAAAAAGUAUCCUAGAAAGCAGGCUAAUUGUUUUCAUUUGUCACACACACUCUUAAAAAUAUGAAACAGAAAUAACAAGCUUCUUCUGCAACUCUGCAUUCUGAAAGUAUUAGCUCUUUCCUCACGCUUACAGGAAAGGAGCAAACGUGCGCGGCUACUUCGUGUGGAGCAUCAUCGACAACUUCGAGUGGACUUUCGGUUUCACGGUAAGGUUCGGGCUGUACCAUGUGGAUUAUGAAACGCAGAAGAGGACUCCAAAGAUGUCGGCGAAGUGGUACCGGGACUUCCUCAUGGGCUCUAGGCCGACCGACCAAGUGCAGACGCUAAGAGCAGAUUCGUGAUAGUUACCGCCAUUACUGUGAGAUCCAGUUACCCGUAAAAAGAAACUGUCAGAGGGAGUAGAAAUUAAGAAAAAAAGUUUGUUUACUUGCUUAUCUCGAAGAUUUCUAAUGGGAUUUUUACAUACUCCCUGCCCUGGACAAGAGCAGAGCAUAGCCAUAUAUGCCUGACAUAGUUUGUACACCAUGACACAUGCUACCGAAUCCUCUUUCAGGAGCUGCUAUAUAGCAUUGUACGUGGUUCCUCACAACAUGCUGCAACAGAAAACUCAGAAAGAUUUUGCAUCCAGAACAUGGGCUGGCUGCCGGAGCCGUCUUCUGCUGCUGUGAGACACGUGGUGGCCUGCGAGUGCGGUGGGGCUGAGCCGGGGCCAUUGUCCUCCACCUGAGCACUUCGAUGAUGAUGGAGUUGUCGAUCAUCCCCACGCCGAAACCCACGAAGGUUAUCACAGCCAGCAGUUGCAGCUGGCACAUAUAAACAGUUCUCAGACAUCCUUGCAUCACAAAUCAUUCAGAAACUUCAGGCGGUGUGAGCAGAGUAUGCUCUGGUUUGCUUGCAUAUCUGUAGAACAAAUGAGUGAAGAACACAACAAAGAGGAACUGGAUCGCCGCGUAUAUCCACACGUACUGCACAUACACGCAUUUUCAAGUUAGUUACCGUUGCAAUGAGGGUUUUAUCAUGGCUGUUCAUAUAAAAAAUUUCAGUCGCUGUUCUGAGGUGGUUGGUGGUUAAUAUGAUUUUCCAACCGGGCUUUCCCCUUUCCAGCAAUUGCUCCAAGAAGAAAAAAUAUGCGAGGAUGCUUACGAUCACAAGGAUAGGUGUCGCAUGCCACAGCCUGAGUAACAAAAUGACAAGAGAAUCACCAUCAGGUUGCAUAAUUCUAUGACUGAACUAGGUGUUACUAAUAUACUAUUAACACACAUCAUUAAAACUCUAGAAGAAAUUAUAUGUUGAUCUGUCACAAAGUAGGUAAGAUUAGCAGCAUGCAAACUUGCUCUUCUCAAAGCAGGUAGUCAACUGUCGAUAUAAUACUACAAAGUCCCUCUCCAGGGUAUCACAGGUGUUACCUGACCUGACUCCAUACGAGGAAGAGGAACACAAACUUCACAAGUAACAAACAGCAAGAAUUGUGUGUGUUCUGUCAACAACUCAGCCUACCUGUACCGGACGUAUCGCGGAUUCGCGCCAGCGUUGCUUGUUUGAAGGAAUCCUCUUUUCUUAUGAUGCAAUCAAAUAAACCAAAAUAUGUAGGAUUGAGAUGAGCCAUGACAUUCCAAUACUAUGUUUUUCAUAUUCCCAUGUUUAUCUCUACUCUUAUAAAAAACAGAGUUGGUGAUGAUGGUGUGCCUGUCAUCCUACAAUAUAGGCCGUCCGAUCUAUAUCUGACGAAUAGGAAGGAAACUAUGACAAUUUUGCAAAAAUAUACCCGCACCCCUCUCCACAUUUACAGACAAGGCCUUCCCUCGAUCAUCCUUAUCUCCCACAAGAUAAACUACUCAUAUAAAUGCAUCUUGAUGUUCCGUACAACGCACGGGCAUCUUGCUAGUAGAGUAUUCAAAUGUGUGUUAAGCAUGACAAAAGUUAUUCGUAUUCAAAAACUGUUUUUGUUGGUGUAAAUUUUAAGUCACAUACAUAACUUAUGUUUUGUUGGUUGAGUUAGCGGUCAAAGUUUAAUGUCAAAGUGAAGCAGUCGAAAUUAGAUUUUGAAAUCGGAGUAUUUCUAAAAGGUUUUCCUCCUCUGCACGGCAUGAGAGUCGUGCUCGCGCACCAGCUUCUUGGGCACCACACGUGGCCAUUCCGAUUCUUUCCUUUUACCAAAGGAGUUGACAAAUGUUCUGAACCUAUCUGUGGGCAUGCCUUCCUCGACUGUCAGUGUCUAAAGUUAUAGGGAGAAUAAAAUCAUAAGGCAUGUUUUACAUAUAGGGGGUAUCUCUGCUUGAUGGCUACUGUUCAUGCAUCCAAUACAUUCAGCCGAGAAAACGACUGUGACAAGUGCCAAGGAAAGAUAUGAUCAUAUGAAUACCAGAUGUUCGAUAUGGCACGAUGAAAGGAAAUGUUGAGAGGAAAUUAUUGGUUCCUCCUCUCUUGUGUUGUAUAUUUUUUUCAUCUAUCUCUGUGACAAUCUUAUAUGUGUGAUAAGGCAUGCUAAUUAAGAAAACCAGUUUAUUUAAUUGCUUAUCUUCAAGAUCUCAAGUGGGAUUUACACACUCCCUGCCCAAGAGCAGAGCAGAGCACAGAACAUAUCCAUAUGCCUGACAUAUUUUGUACACCAUGACACAUGCUACUGAAUCUUCUUCAGGAGGUGCCAUAUAGCAAUUUUGUAGUUCCUCACGACAUGCCGCAACAAAAACUCAAAGAAAAUUUUGCAUCCAGACGAUGAAAAAAACUUCCAGACAACCUCUUUGUUCUACCAUUUACUCCCUUCGUUCCAGAAUAUAAGGUGUAUUGAUUUCUGCGCAAGUCAACCAUUUGAAUGUUUGAUCAAGAUUGUAGAAUAAAGUAACAACAUCUGCAAUACGUAAUAGAUAAAAUAUGAAACUACUUUUCAUGAUGGACCAAAAUCAGCGAAGGUGGCCAGGAUGACAGAUAUCACCGCCUGCAGAUGCAGCUGCAACAAACAAACAGUUCCCAGACAUCAACACUUGCAUCACAAAUCAUUCAGAAACUUCAGGCGGUGUGAGCAGAGUAUGCUCUGUUUUGCUUACAUGUCUGUAGAACAAAUGAGUGAAGAACACAACAAAGAGGAGCUGGAUCGCCGCGUAUAUCCACAAGUAUCUCCUCAACACUGCACAGACGUGCAUUUUCAAUUUAGUUACUGUUGCAAUGAGGGUUUUAUCAUGGCAGUUCAUGUCAAAAAUUUCAGUCUGUGUUCUGAGGUGGAUGGGGGGUUAUCGAUCCAGUUGUAAGAGAAAUCAACAGAGUGAUAGAUAUGAAUACCAGCAAUUGCUCCAAGAAGCAAAAAUAUGCGAGGAUGCUGAUGAUCACAAGGAUAGGUGUCCCAUGCCACAGCCUGAGUAACAAAAUGACAAAGGAAUCACCAUCAGGUUGCAUAAUUCUAUACUGUACUAGGUGUUACUAAUUUACUAUGAGAUAGCACACAUCAUUCUAAUUCCAGAAGAAAUUCUAUGUUGAACUGUCACAAAGUAGGUAAGGUUAGCAGCAUGUAAACUUGCUCUUCUCAAAGCAGGUAGUCAACGUCCAUAUAAUACUAUAAAGUCCCUCUCCAGGGUAUCAUACGAGGAACACAAACUUCACAAGUAACAAAAAGCAAGAAUUGUGUGUGUUCUGUCAACAACUCAACCUACCCGUACAGGAUGUAUCGCGAAUUCGCGCCAGCAUUGCCUGUUUGAAGGAAUCCUCUGUUUUUCCUACCAUGCAACCAAACAAACCAAAACAUAUAGGAUUGAGAUGUUUUCAUAUUUCCAUGUUUAUCAAACCUGUGAAUUAAAGAGUCCCCAAAUGUGGGUUACGCGUGACGUAAGUUAUUCAUAUUAAAAAAAAUUGGUGGUACAAAUUUGAAGUCACAUAACUUAUGUUUUGUCGGUUGAAUUAGCGGCCAAAGUUAUUGUCAAAGUUAAAUUUUGAAAUCGGAGUAUUUCUAAAAGGCUUUCUUCCUCUGCACGGCACGAAAGUCGUGCUCGCGCACCAGCUUCUUGGACCACACGUGGUCAUUCCGAUUCUUCCCUUUUACCAAAGGAGAUCAGAAAUGUUCUGAACCUACCUGUGGACCUACCUUCCUCAACUGUCAGUGUCUAAAGUUAUAGGGAGAAUAAAAUCGUAAGGAUGUGUUACAUAUAGGGGGUAUCUCUGCUUGAUGGCUACUGCUCAUGCAUCCAAUUCACUGAGCCAAGAAAACGACUGUGACAAGUGCCAAAGAAAGAUAUGAAUAUCAGAUGUUUGAUAUGGCACGUUGAAAGGAAAUAUUGAGAGGAAAUUAUUCAUCCGAGAAAAUGACUGUUCAUGCAUCAAUGUAUGUUGUCGCAGAAUUUUGUAUCAAAAUUUCAAACAUUAUUCGAGAUACAAAAAUGAAAAUUUUGACAUUAAUGUGAUAAUGGGUCGAAUCUAAAGCCUAACUUAUGUUACGUGCUAUUCAGUGUCGAAUUUGUCUUCUUUUUAAAAAAUGUUUCGAGUUUUGAUUCGAAAUUUUGUGACAACAUAUAUUGUUGUUAUGUGAAUGUGCUAUUUUCUUUAAAGAAUUUUCCUUGCAUUUUUAAAUGUGCUACGAGAAAUCGGUGCACCAGGCGUGGACCAUAUAUAAGCACGGGUGCACCAGAUAUUCUGCCCCUGCAGCAGCCCGGACCAUGCAUUGCCUUCCCUUUCACCAAAGGAAACAGAAAAUGUUCUGAACCUAUGUGUCGACCUACCUUUCUCAAUUGUCAGCGUCUAAAUUUGUCGGGAGAACAAAAACCUGAGGCUUAGAUUACAUAAAGGGGGUAUCCUUGCUGAAAUCUACUGUUCAUCCAUCCAAAUAAUUCAGCCGAGAAAACGACAAUGACAAAUGCAAAGGAAAGAUAUGAAUAUCAGAUGUUUGUCGUGGCACAUUGAAAGGAAGGAAAUGUUCAGAGGAAGUUAUGGCUUCCUCCCCUCUUGUGCUACUAUCUCAAGUGACAAUCAGCACAUUAGCCAGUAAUGUCAUAGGCAUGCUAACUAAGCAAAAACACUUUAACCGAUCAAAUGCGGCUUAUGCGUGGUGAAAGUUACACCGUUGAAUUCGUAUUCGAAAAAGGUUUUCAGUGCUACAAAUUUGAAGUCACAUAACCUAUGUUUUGCUUGGUUAAAUCAACAGUCAAAGUUAAGUGUAGAAAAACUGUCAAAAGUUAAAAUUUUGAAAUGGAGGGAGUAUUUCCAAAAGGUUUUCUUCUUCCGCAGGGCAAGCUAGUCGUGCUCGCGCCGCAGCUUGGACCACGGGUGGCCAUUCCGAUUCUUCCCUUUUGCCAUAGGAGAUCAGAAAUGUUCUGAACCUAACCUAUUUGUCGACCUACGUUCCUCAACUGUCACAGUCUAAAGUUAUAGGGAGAAUAUUAACAUGAGGCCUGGGUUACGUACCCGGGGUAUGUCUGCUGAGGCUUGCUGUUGAUGCAUCCAAUUCAUUCAGCCGAGAAAACGACUGUGACAAGUGCCAAGGAGAAGAUAUGAAUAUCAGCAUAUUAUCACCUAUCUCUUGUGACAAUCAGCAUGUGUGAUAAAGACAUGCCAAUCAAGAAAAACAGUUACUUCCUCCGUCCCAUAAUGUAAGAACGUUUUUGACACUACACUUACUGCCCUAAAGACAAGUGCAGAGCAGAGCAGAGAGCUUAGCUAUAUACAACAUAUGUCAGACAUACUUUGUACACCAUGACACAUGCUACUGAAUCCUUCUUCAGGAGCUGUUAUAUAACAUUGUAGUUCCUCACCACAUGCUGCAACAAAAAAACUCGGAUUUUGCAUCCAGACCACGAAAAAAAAAAUCCAGACAACCUCUUUGUUCUACCAUAUACUACACAGCAAGGGUCCCAAGCUCUCGAGCGUCAACCAACAGCACAUUGUUUCUAACUACAUAAGAUCUAUGCUUGAGGGAUGGCGGGGUUCUCGACGUCGACGGUGGCGCUACGCUGUCCCUCCUCUGCAGCUGAAGGAUGACUGGAUGUCGGAGCCGGAUGUUGCUGCUGCGCGACACGUGGUGGCCUGCGAGCGCGGCGCGGCUGAGCCGGGGCCAUCGUCCUCCACCUCAACACCUCGAUGAUGAUGGAGUUGCCGAUCAUCCCCACGCCGAAACCCGCAAAGGUGGCCAGGAUGAUGGAUAUCACAGCCUGCAGAUGCA